GUUAGGGUGGCAGAGCUCGGCGAUUGCAUAAAACUUAAACCUUUAUACUCAGAGGUUCAAAUCCUCUCCCUAACA
rnacentral:tRNA from 1 species